UUUUUUCCUUUUUCUUUUUCUUUUUCUUUCUCUCUUUCUGU
rnacentral:ribozyme from 13 species